UGAAAAUCUUUUUCUACUGUUGGGCCGCUCACAGCGUAAAGGAACAGGGUGAGGAGGUCUCUUGGGCAGCCUAUAGAUGUGCUUGGCCUGAUAGUAAUCAGGAUUUUAGGAAGAACUUGGCGAUUACUAUGUGCAGAGCGCAGCGACCGUUGCUCCUGACUGCGGGGCAGAUCUAUCCAAUCAAUAAGAAUGCCUUUGUCUCGCUGGUCAAGGCAUCAUAUUCAUACUACACAUUGCUGCGACAGUUUGAAGACAAAUGAAUUCAAUCACAAGGACAACAGGCUUGAAAGUUGUUUCCUGAAUUAUCAUUCACAUGUAAAGAAUGGCAAAUAAAGCAGAAAGAAUACUCAGCACUGAUUAUAUUCAUGUACAAUCCAAAACAAUGCUGUUAUAUUCACCAUCAUUGUUUUUGUGCAGGUGA